rnacentral:rRNA from 1 species
AGAGUUUGAUCCUGGCUCAGGACGAACGCUGGCGGCGUGCCUAAUACAUGCAAAUCGAGCGAGCUGAACCAACAGAUUCACUUCGGUGAUGACGUUGGGAACGCGAGCAGCGGAUGGGUGAGUAACACGUGGGGAACCUGCCCCAUAGUCUGGGAUACCACUUGGAAACAGGUGCUAAUACCGGAUAAGAAAGCAGAUCGCAUGAUCAGCUUAUAAAAGGCGGCGUAAGCUGUCGCUAUGGGAUGGCCCCGCGGUGCAUUAGCUAGUUGGUAGGGUAACGGCCUACCAAGGCAAUGAUGCAUAGCCGAGUUGAGAGACUGAUCGGCCACAUUGGGACUGAGACACGGCCCAAACUCCUACGGGAGGCAGCAGUAGGGAAUCUUCCACAAUGGACGAAAGUCUGAUGGAGCAACGCCGCGUGAGUGAAGAAGGUUUUCGGAUCGUAAAGCUCUGUUGUUGGUGAAGAAGGAUAGAGGUAGUAACUGGCCUUUAUUUGACGGUAAUCAACCAGAAAGUCACGGCUAACUACGUGCCAGCAGCCGCGGUAAUACGUAGGUGGCAAGCGUUGUCCGGAUUUAUUGGGCGUAAAGCGAGCGCAGGCGGAAGAAUAAGUCUGAUGUGAAAGCCCUCGGCUUAACCGAGGAACUGCAUCGGAAACUGUUUUUCUUGAGUGCAGAAGAGGAGAGUGGAACUCCAUGUGUAGCGGUG